GAUGAACGCUGGCGGCGUGCCUAAUACAUGCAAGUCGAGCGAAUGGAUUAAGAGCUUGCUCUUAUGAAGUUAGCGGCGGACGGGUGAGUAACACGUGGGUAACCUGCCCAUAAGACUGGGAUAACUCCGGGAAACCGGGGCUAAUACCGGAUAACAUUUUGAACCGCAUGGCUCGAAAUUGAAUGUCUGCGUCGGCUGUCACUGAUGGAUGGACCCGCGUCGCAUUAGCUAGUUGGUGAGGUAACGGCUCACCAAGGCAACGAUGCGUAGCCGACCUGAGAGGGUGAUCGGCCACACUGGGACUGAGACACGGCCCAGACUCCUACGGGAGGCAGCAGUAGGGAAUCUUCCGCAAUGGACGAAAGUCUGACGGAGCAACGCCGCGUGAGUGAUGAAGGCUUUCGGGUCGUAAAACUCUGUUGUUAGGGAAGAACAAGUGCUAGUUGAAUAAGCUGGCACCUUGACGGUACCUAACCAGAAAGCCACGGCUAACUACGUGCCAGCCGCCGCGGUAA
rnacentral:rRNA from 1 species